rnacentral:rRNA from 1 species
CACGUAGGGUGCGAGCGUUGUCCGGAAUUAUUGGGCGUAAAGAGCUCGUAGGCGGUGUGUCGCGUCGGCCGUGAAAACCUGCAGCUUAACUGGGGAACUGCGUCUGAUACUGGAUGGCUUGAGUUUGGGAGAGGGAUGCGGAAUUCCAGGUGUAGCGGUGAAAUGCGUAGAUAUCUGGAGGAACACCGGUGGCGAAGGCGGCAUCCUGGACCAACACUGACACUGAGGAGCGAAAGCCAGGGGAGCAAACGGG